rfam:Felis catus isolate Cinnamon breed Abyssinian chromosome C1, whole genome shotgun sequence.
GCCUGGGUGGCUCAGUUGGUUGAGCAUCCGACUUCAGCUCAGGUCAUGAUCUCGCGGUUUGUGGGUUUGAGCCCUACGUCGGGCU